rnacentral:rRNA from 1 species
GACGAACGCUGGCGGCGUGCCUAAUACAUGCAAGUCGAGCGCAGGAAGCUGACGGAACUCUUCGGAGAGAAGGCAGUGGAAUGAGCGGCGGACGGGUGAGUAACACGUAAGGAACCUGCCUCAAGGAUUGGGAUAACUCCGAGAAAUCGGAGCUAAUACCGGAUAGUUCAACGGACCGCAUGGUCCGCUGAUGAAAGGCGCUUCGGCGUCACCUUGAGAUGGCCUUGCGGUGCAUUAGCUAGGUGGUGGGGUAACGGCCCACCAAGGCAAGGGUGGAUAGCCGACCUGAGAGGGUGAUCGGCCACACUGGGACUGAGACACGGCCCAGACUCCUACGGGAGUCAGCAGUAGGGAAUCUUCCACAAUGGACGAAAGUCUGAUGGAGCAACGCCGCGUGAGUGAUGAAGGUUUUCGGAUCGUAAAACUCUGUUGUAAGGGAAGAACACGUACGAGAGGGAAUGCUCGUACCUUGACGGUACCUUACGAGAAAGCCACGGCUAACUACGUGCCAGCCGCCGCCGUAA